ensembl:lncRNA
GGAGGAGGCACUCUAUAGCGCCACCUUUUGUCAAAAGUGGGGGGGUUAGUUUUAGCUACAGACACCAAACUCGGUACAUAAAUUAUUCUUAUCAAGACGGACAACUUUCUAAUUUACAGUCAUCAGCUACGACCAACAGGAAGUCGGCUAUUUUGGGCUGUUUAAAAAAAGCAUGCUCUGGAAUUUGAAAUACUCCUCUGAGGUUUUCCACCCGUUCUCCACGAAACUCGGUGAACAUGAUCUCAAGACAUUGGGGAUGAAAAAUUGCCAGGGGAUUUUUGAUAUCUCGAACGGUUUGUCCGUGGCGAGGCGUUGAAAUUAGGGCAAAAAAUGAGAAACAGGAAAUGUCUAAUAACAUCCACAUACAUUUUCUGAUUUAGAUCAAACUUCAUCGGAUUGUUUGAUGUAUG